rnacentral:rRNA from 1 species
UACAGAGGGUGCAAGCGUUAAUCGGAAUUACUGGGCGUAAAGCGUGCGUAGACGGUUACAUAAGUCGGGUGUGAAAGCCCCGGGCUCAACCUGGGAAUUGCAUUCGAGACUGCGUAGCUAGGGUGCGGAAGAGGGAAGCGGAAUUUCCGGUGUAGCGGUGAAAUGCGUAGAUAUCCGGAAGAACACCGGUGGCGAAGGCGGCCCGCUGGGCAGUGGCUGACGCUGAGGCGCGACAGCGUGGGGAGCAAACAGG